AUUUCACACCUGUCAGUGUUUUCUGCUCAUUUGGCCAACAACAGGACUGGUAAUCGCAUCUUAGUUACGCAGCUACAUCUUCCCCUCCAGUGUUCCCAGUCAAGAACUGUGAGAAAGGGAGGAAUUUUCUCUCCCCUGAGGUGAACGGAAGCCACCAGCCUUCACUGUCUCACACUGAAGAGCCCACAAUGAAAUGAUGGUGCAGUCGGCCUAGUAACAAUGGCUGGCAUUGAAAUUUCAUCCCCAUUUUGCAUACUUGAUCCACUACGGGACGAUCUGGAUGGAACUAUUUUUAACUAAAACGUUAGCAUUUCUGGUUCUCUUCACUCUCAGAAACUGCCUUUGGAAAUUUUAUAAGCCCUAUAGAGUUUGAGUCAGAAAAUCUAAAAAAACCAAGCCCAAUCCUUUAUGUUUUUAAACCCGGCCUACCAGAGUAAGUCAAGGAAAAUUCAUGCCUUAGGAUUCCAGGGAGGUCAGAAAAAGACAUACUGAAUUGCUGCUAAGGCUCUUCCCGCUAGGAGGGAGGUAGUAAGAAAGCAACACACCGAGCUUCAUGCUCCAGAGGCUGUACGGAGGAGAAAGUGGCCACAAAAGGCAUGAAUUUACAAAAGUAGAGGAGAGAAUAUUGGCAUUACGGAGUCUGUGCAACUGCGAUUGAAUAUUUCUCUAACAAAAUGACAUUUUUUGUCCUACAACUCAGUGCACGCAAAUGAAUUAUGAAGACAUUGGAGGGUCCAAAAAUGGUAGAAAAAGAAAAAAUAUCACAGUGAGGGAGGACUUAAGAAGAAAGGCUGAGGUAAACUAUUUUAGAAGGAGGGAGGCAAGCUUUUCUACGGGUCGCUGGCUCUGAGAGGAACAGGAGACCAGAGACUGACACGGAGCAGUGUGCUGGGCCAAGCCUUGGUCUCCGAAGCAGAAAUGGAGACUGAGAAUCCUGUUGAAAGUCUUGCUCCUCUAGUACCAGGUGAGAAGCAGGAACUUCCAACAUGUGCCCUGUGUGCUGGCCUGAGGCUCUGAGGAGUCUCGCCAACUGUGGGUGGCCCAGAGCGUCUCACUUUAGAGUGGGAAGGAAGGACGUCUGAUGGUGGCAGAGACUGCCACUUCUUAAAACUGGAUGGGCCGCAGCUGGAUUUCUACCUUACGGGAGGUCUUGCCCUUGAAAGGAAGCAACGCUGAUAAGGUAAGGUUAGUCUCGUGAUCACUGGUGAGAUGCAGCUGUCUGAGGAGUGAACUUGGACCUCGUAUCUCUCUGCUUCUGCCUUUCCACGUGAGCGCGCUCCACUUCCGUGUGCAGACGUUUUAUCUUCUGCUACUCCACCUUGCUGUGAUGUAACCAUGUGAGGUCCUUACAGGAACCAAGCAGAGGGGGCUGCCCGAUGCAGGUUUCAGCCCACAAAGCUAUGAUGUACGUGACUCUUUUAAAAAUGUGUUAUCCAGUAAUUUUGUUACAGAA